rnacentral:rRNA from 1 species
GUACACUCCUGCGGGAGGCAGCAGUGGGGAAUAUUGCACAAUGGGCGCAAGCCUGAUGCAGCCAUGCCGCGUGUAUGAAGAAGGCCUUCGGGUUGUAAAGUACUUUCAGCGGGGAGGAAGGCGAUAAGGUUAAUAACCUUGUUGAUUGACGUUACCCGCAGAAGAAGCACCGGCUAACUCCGUGCCAGCAGCCGCGGUAAUACGGAGGGUGCAAGCGUUAAUCGGAAUUACUGGGCGGAAAGCGCACGCAGGCGGUCUGUCAAGUCGGAUGUGAAAUCCCCGGGCUCAACCUGGGAACUGCAUUCGAAACUGGCAGGCUAGAGUCUUGUAGAGGGGGGUAGAAUUCCAGGUGUAGCGGUGAAAUGCGUAGAGAUCUGGAGGAAUACCGGUGGCGAAGGCGGCCCCCUGGACAAAGACUGACGCUCAGGUGCGAAAGCGUGGGGAGCAAACAGGAUUAGAAACCCUUGUAGUCCCA